CACUAUGCCUAGCCCUAAACAUUGACAGUUAAUUACACCCACUGUCCGCCUGGGGACUACGAGCGCCAGCUUAAAACCCAAAGGACUUGGCGGUGCUUUAGACCCACCUAGAGGAGCCUGUUCUAGAACCGAUAAUCCCCGUUGAACCUCACCCUUCCUUGUCAUUUCCGCCUAUAUACCACCGUCGUCAGCUUACCCUGUGAAGGCCCAAUAGUAAGCGCAAUCGGCAAUGCCCAAAACGUCAGGUCGAGGUGUAGCGAAUGGAAGGGGAAGAAAUGGGCUACAUUUACUAACACAGUAAAUACGGAUGAUUACCCUGCAACGAGUAUCUGAAGGAGGAUUUAGCAGUAAGCAAAAAACAGAGUGUUUUGCUGAAAUUGGCCCUGAAGCGUGCACACACCGCCCGUCACUCUCUCCGAACUAAAACUUUAAACAUAACUAAUAUGCUAUAACUGUAAAGGGGAGGCAAGUCGUAA
rnacentral:rRNA from 1 species